rnacentral:ncRNA from 2 species
UUCAAAACGGGCGAUGGAGCUCGCCCCAACCGCCUGCAAACCGCCGCAAACGGCAGAGUUUAAGGCUGAUGGCUCCUACACUUCC